rnacentral:rRNA from 1 species
CUACGGGAGGCAGCAGUGAGGAAUAUUGGUCAAUGGACGGAAGUCUGAACCAGCCAUGCCGCGUGCAGGAAGACGGCUCUAUGAGUUGUAAAAUGCUUUUGUACAAGGGUAAACCUGAACACGUGUAUUCAGCUGAAAGUACUGCACGAAUAAGGACCGGCUAACUCCGUGCCAGCAGCGGCGGUAAUACGCAGGUGGCAAACGUUGUUCGGAAUAACUGGGCGUAAAGGAUGCGUAGGCGGUUAAACAAGGUAUAUGUUAAAUAUAUAGGCUUAACCUGUAGAAAGCAUAUGAAACUGUUUAACUAGAGUGCAGGAGAGGUAAGUGGAAUUCCUGGUGUAGCGGUGAAAUGCGUAGAGAUUAGGAAGAACACCAGUGGCGAAGGCGACUUACUGGACUGUAACUGACGCUGAGGCAUGAGAGCAUGGGGAGCAAACAGGAUUAGAUACCCCGGUAGUC